rnacentral:SRP_RNA from 1 species
CGGCAGGGCACCGUGAACCGGGUCAGGUCCGGAAGGAAGCAGCCCUAAGCGGGCCGCCCUGGGUGCCGCAGGGUCGCCUGACCGG